GUGGGGAAUAUUGGGCAAUGGGGGCAACCCUGACCCAGCGACGCCGCGUGAGGGAAGAAGGCCUUAGGGUCGUAAACCUCUGUUGUGUGGGAAGAAGGAAGUGACGGUACCACACGAGGAAGUCCCGGCUAACUACGUGCCAGCAGCCGCGGUAAUACGUAGGGGACGAGCGUUGUCCGGAAUUACUGGGCGUAAAGGGCGCGUAGGCGGUCAUUUAAGUCAGCUGUGAAAUGGUCCGGCUCAACCGGAUCAUGCGGUUGAAACUGGAUGACUGGAGUGCUGGAGAGGCAAGUGGAAUUCCCAGUGUAGCGGUGAAAUGCGUAGAUAUUGGGAAGAACACCGGUGGCGAAGGCGACUUGCUGGCCAGCAACUGACGCUGAGGCGCGAAAGCCAGGGGAGCAAACGGGAUUAGAUACCCGGGUAGUCC
rnacentral:rRNA from 1 species